CCCGCUGAACUUAAGCAUAUAACUAAGCGGAGGAAAAGAAACUAACAAGGAUUCCCUCAGUAACGGCGAGUGAAGCGGGAAAAGCUCAGACUGAAAAUCUUCGGAAUUGUAGUCUGGAGAAGCCAGGUCAGCUUUAAGUUUCGGAUAAAGUCUCUUGGAACAGAGCGCCGUGGAGGGUGAUAGCCCCGUUCAUGUCUGAAACGAAAGGUGUACGACCGGCUUUCUAAGAGUCGAGUUGUUUGGGAUUGCAGCUCUAAGUGGGUGGUAAAUUCCAUCUAAAGCUAAAUAUAAAUGGGAGACCGAUAGCGAACAAGUACCGUGAGGGAAAGAUGCAAAGAACUUUGAAAAGAGAGUUAAAUAGUACCUGAAAUUGCUGAAAUGGAACCGAUGGGAAGCAGUGUUGGCUUGUUGGUACUUGUACCUGUGAGCAAGUCAGGUUUCCUUAGUUGUGUGGGAAAGGCUUCCAGACCUGUAUGGGCUGGUUUUGCUGUCAUGCGACUGAGGGACUCUGACGAAAUGCUUCUUAUCAACCCGUCUUGAAACACGG
rnacentral:rRNA from 1 species